rnacentral:rRNA from 1 species
UACGUAGGGUGCAAGCGUUAAUCGGAAUUACUGGGCGUAAAGCGUGCGCAGGCGGUUAUGUAAGACAGGUGUGAAAUCCCCGGGCUUAACCUGGGAACUGCAUUUGUGACUGUAGAGCUGGAGUACGGCAGAGGGGGAUGGAAUUCCGCGUGUAGCAGUGAAAUGCGUAGAUAUGCGGAGGAACACCGAUGGCGAAGGCAAUCCCCUGGGCCUGUACUGACGCUCAUGCACGAAAGCGUGGGGAGCAAACAGG